rnacentral:rRNA from 1 species
UACGUAGGGUGCAAGCGUUGUCCGGAAUUAUUGGGCGUAAAGAGCUCGUAGGCGGUCUGUCGCGUCUGCUGUGAAAAUCCAGGGCUCAACCCUGGACCUGCAGUGGGUACGGGCAGACUAGAGUGCGGUAGGGGAGAUCGGAAUUCCUGGUGUAGCGGUGAAAUGCGCAGAUAUCAGGAGGAAUACCUAUGGCGAAAGCAGGCUACUGGACCAUCACUGACUCUGAGGCGCGAAAGCUAGGGGAGCAAACGGG